GGGCGAUUGGCUCAGCGGUUAGAGCACUCGCUUCACACGCGAGGGGUCACUGGUUCGAAUCCAGUAUCGCCCA
rnacentral:tRNA from 1 species